rnacentral:rRNA from 1 species
UACGUAGGGUCCGAGCGUUGUCCGGAAUUACUGGGCGUAAAGAGCUCGUAGGCGGUUUGUCGCGUCUGCUGUGAAAUCUGGGGGCUCAACCCCCAGCCUGCAGUGGGUACGGGCAGACUAGAGUGCGGUAGGGGAGAUUGGAAUUCCUGGUGUAGCGGUGGAAUGCGCAGAUAUCAGGAGGAACACCGAUGGCGAAGGCAGAUCUCUGGGCCGUAACUGACGCUGAGGAGCGAAAGCAUGGGGAGCGAACAGG